UACAGAGGGUGCUAGCGUUGUUCGGAAUUAUUGGGCGUAAAGGGCGCGUAGGCGGCCCUGUGUGUCGGGUGUGAAAGCCCACCUCUUAAAGGUGGAAUUGCAUUCGAAACUACAGGGCUGGAGUGUCGGAGAGGAUGGCGGAAUUCCUGGUGUAGAGGUGAAAUUCGUAGAUAUCAGGAGGAACACCGGUGGCGAAGGCGGCCAUCUGGACGACAACUGACGCUGAGGCGCGAAAGCGUGGGGAGCGAACAGG
rnacentral:rRNA from 1 species